rnacentral:rRNA from 1 species
UGGGGAAUAUUGCGCAAUGGGGGGAACCCUGACGCAGCCAUGCCGCGUGAAUGAAGAAGGCCUUAGGGUUGUAAAGUUCUUUCGGUAUUGAGGAAGGUUGAUGUGUUAAUAGCACAUCAAAUUGACGUUAAAUACAGAAGAGGCACCGGCUAACUCCGUGCCAGCAGCCGCGGUAAUACGGAGGGUGCGAGCGUUAAUCGGAAUAACUGGGCGUAAAGGGCACGCAGGCGGUUAUUUAAGUGAGGUGUGAAAGCCCCGGGCUUAACCUGGGAAUUGCAUUUCAGACUGGGUAACUAGAGUACUUUAGGGAGGGGUAGAAUUCCACGUGUAGCGGUGAAAUGCGUAGAGAUGUGGAGGAAUACCGAAGGCGAAGGCAGCCCCUUGGGAAUGUACUGACGCUCAUGUGCGAAAGCGUGGGGAGCAAACAGGAUUAGAUACCCUGGUAGUCCACGCUGUAAACGCUGUCGAUUUGGGGGUUGGGGUUUAACUCUGGCGCCCGUAGCUAACGUGAUAAAUCGACCGCCUGGGGAGUACGGCCGCAAGGUUA